GCCCGGGUGGUGAAAUUGGUAGACGCAGGGGACUCAAAAUCCCCCGCCGCAAGGCGUGUCGGUUCGAUUCCGACCCCGGGCACCA
rnacentral:tRNA from 1 species